CAGUCGCGCGGUAAUACGGAGGGUGCAAGCGUUAAUCGGAAUUACUGGGCGUAAAGCGCACGCAGGCGGUCUGACAAGUCAGAUGUGAAAUCCCCGGGCUUAACCUGGGAACUGCAUUUGAAACUGUCAGGCUGGAGUCUUGUAGAGGGGGGUGGAAUUCCAGGUGUAGCGGUGAAAUGCGUAGAGAUCUGGAGGAAUACCGGUGGCGAAGGCGGCCCCCUGGACAAAGACUGACGCUCAGGUGCGAAAGCGUGGGGAGCAAACAGGAUUAGAUACCCCUGUAGUCCCUGUCUCUUAUACA
rnacentral:rRNA from 1 species